rnacentral:rRNA from 1 species
GACGAACGCUGGCGGCGUGCCUAACACAUGCAAGUCGAACGGAGAAUUCUAAGAAGUUUACUUUGAGGAAUUUUAGUGGCGGACGGGUGAGUAACGCGUGGGUAACCUACCCAUAAAUCCGGGACAACCCUUGGAAACGAGGGCUAAUACCGGAUAAUCUUAGGACUUGGCAUCAAGACUUAAGGAAAGGUGGCCUCUGAAUAUGCUACCGAUUAUGGAUGGACCCGCGUCUGAUUAGCUAGUUGGUGGGGUAAAGGCCUACCAAGGCGACGAUCAGUAGCCGGCCUGAGAGGGUGAACGGCCACACUGGGACUGAGACACGGCCCAGACUCCUACGGGUGGCUG